UCACACAUUUAUAAAUUUGCUUUGAAAAGUGAAUGAACUUAAUUUAAAAGAAUGAUACUUAAAAUACUAAUGUAUUGUGAAAUCUAAGAAGUGGUGUGUCCAGGUUAAUGAACCAAGAUCACACCACUGUCCAAAACUGCAAGCUUGCAGAAAAGCGCCUGGCAACGAGCAGGUGCAAUAAACUAAAGAAUAAUUUCAACACUGUAAUGUCGAUUAAUAAAAUCGAUGAACACAGGGAAAUCUGGGCUUUUGCCCGUGAGUCUUCGCGAUAGUAAGUCGUGGGUUAGUUUGGCCGUUAUUUUGAAUAUAAAGAAGUUCUCAUUCUUAUUACUGAUAAUUAAUAAUUAAGUAUAAAAAGUGAAAAAUAAUAAAAGUUCUAAAUGAGAAAUUGUGCUAUAAAAAGUUGAUCUAAAAUAAAUAUUAUAGAAAAGGAUUAUAAGAAGUUUAAAGGAAUAAUAUCAAAUAACGAAUGGGAUUCAACUCAACCGAAUCCUCUGCCCUGUGCAUAUAAUCACUAUAACAUUUCUUUGAAACCGAUUUACACUUGGAUCUAAGGGCAGAAAACACUCUGUAAUCCUCGGGAGACUUGGACGACUUAUACUUUAAAUGUGCAGCCUUCUUAGAAAUUAACAAACAGACAAGCUCAUCACUAAACCAUACAGGAUAUGUAGAACAAUGCGAUUUCUUCAAAGAUGAUCCAGAUUUAGAAGAGCAAAUUACAAAGUUGUUAGAAGAAAGAUUCCACACGGCAAAAGGCACAUUAAAAUCACCCGUGACAAUAAAAACAGAUGGACACAGUCUAAGGUACACAUCUUCAAGUAUUUGAGAUACAGCAGUAUACUGUUGCAAAGUACUAUUUGGUGGCAAAUAAAAAACACCCAGCACCACAAGUUGAGACAGAAUUGUAAAUUUAAUAAAUAAAUGUUCAAUAGAUCUAUCAGAAGUUAAAACUUGGGUACUUUUUAA